CACGUAGGGUGCGAGCGUUGUCCGGAAUUAUUGGGCGUAAAGAGCUCGUAGGCGGUGUGUCGCGUCGGCCGUGAAAACCUGCAGCUUAACUGUGGGCUUGCGGUCGAUACGGGCAUCACUGGAGUUCGGCAGGGGAGACUGGAAUUCCUGGUGUAGCGGUGAAAUGCGCAGAUAUCAGGAGGAACACCGGUGGCGAAGGCGGGAUCCUGGGCCAGUACUGACGCUGAGGAGCGAAAGCGUGGGGAGCAAACAGG
rnacentral:rRNA from 1 species